UAUCUUCAAAGUGAACUGCAGGUCCCACGAAGGAACGUAUGCUGGAAGCAAACGGGGUUGACUAUAAGAAACGAAGAGUGGAAGAGUCAUUUGCGCUUCGAUUCCCUUCAUCAAAUCUUGUCGCCUUCAAUGGCCGCUCCCCUGUCUUGCAUAUUGAUGGAGUGUGCUCAGGCGAUUGAAGGUGGUCGCUUGGAUGUUGCAGAUUCACUUUUGGCAGUAAUUCAAUCUCUAGCUCCUAAAGAGGAGAGCAUAUGGAGGAGGAAAGUUGUCAAAUACUUUGCUGAGGCUCUUGUCCGGCGAGCCUAUGGAAUUCGUCCUCCAUUUCCUUUACCCUCGGUUCCUGCUCAAAGGGAUCCAGGGGAUUGCAUAUAUGGACCUUUCUACGAGUUUGCUACAAUCACAAGUAAACAUGCCAUUGCUGAUGCCUUGAAUUCGGGAAAUAAACGACUCCACAUUAUUGACUUCUCCAUCGUGUUCGGUUUUUGGCAGUGGAAUUAUUUAAUUGGUGACCUCAGAAGGCAGUACGGUGGCCUGCAAUCAGUCCUAAUAACCAGUAUCGCACCGAAACUGUCAAAACACUCUUCCCAUCUCCGUAAAAACCGGGAACGGGUUCGGCAGUUUGGGUACAAAAUAUUGGAAUUGAGGCAAUUGAUAUGCAAUAGUCCGGAUGAUAUUGUCAAUUGUAUUUCCAAACUCAGAAGGAAAAGUGAGGAUGAGAUUGUGGUUGUGAAUUGGAAUUAUAUACUCCACAAAUUGCUUGCACAAGAUGGGAAAAUGGAGCAAGUUCUUUCAAAAGUGAAGGAUUUGGGAGCGGACAUCAUGGUAAUUGUUGAGCAAGAAGCCAAUCUUAACAGCCCAGAUCUUUCGGAGCGGCUCGAACAAUCAUUCCAAUACUACUCCCCUUUUUUUGAGUCACUGGAGGAAGAUUAUGAUAGCAAGGUCUUAUGGGAGAUGUAUUUCAGGCGACAGAUUGGGAAUGUGGUGGCAUGUGAGGGCGUUGACCGGGUCGAGCGGAUUGAGUCAUUUGCUCACUGGCAAAAUCGCCUCUCUCAGGCUGGGUUUUGUCCAGUUCCCCAAAAUGGAAUCGUAGACAUGUUUAAGAUAGGUUUUCCCGUCGGUUUAGAAAAAUCUGGAAUCGAAGAGAAGGAAGGGCAUAUCCUGCUACUUUGGCACGGGUUUCCGCUAGCUGUAGCCUCAGUUUGGAAGUUCACUGGCCCACCUCAAUUCAGUGGCGGCUACUGGAAAAACAUGUUGACAAGUCUUUACACAAUGCAAGAUACAGUUGAUGACUCAGAAGGGAUGGAUACAGUUGAUGACUCAGAAGGGAUGGCGAGCUCCUCUGAGUCUGAGGAUGAUGAAGAAAAUGAUUCUCUAGUUUCCAAAAUGGCAGGUAGAAACUUAUGGUCCACACAGGGCUCUUCAAUGAAUCGAAUAGCUGCUUCAGCAAAGUUACUUGACAUAUUGGAAUAUAUAUGUGAUCUACAUAGGUUACCACUGGCUGUGACAUGGAUUUCCUAUGGACAAGAUGGUAAUACAAAUUCAAAGGGAAAACGUAUUCUACGUAUUGAUGAUAGCGCUUGCUAUGUAAAUAAUUGGGAAAUGGAAGAAUUUGUGGAUGAAUAUGCACGACAUCGUCUCGAGGAAGGACAAGGUAUCGCCGGAAAAGCACUUCAAUAUAAUAUUCAUAUCCAGCAUGACAUUUCCCUGCUUGAUCCAGCUGAAUUAUUCCCUUCCAUAUUUAGCUAUUGGAUCAUAAAGCAUCAUGCUGCUUUUGCUAUAAGGCUAACAAGCACCCACCCUUGUAAGGAUGAUUACGUAUUGGAAUUUCUUCUCCCUGAACGCAUGAAAGAGACUUCAGAAGUAGAACUUUUGAUAAAUAAGGUAUUGCGUACAUUGCAGAGGAAAUGUUUAAAGUUGUGGAAAGUUUGGGUCAGAGAACUAAACGAGGCGAGUGGCUCUGAAGUUAGAUUGGAUAUUGAAAGCAUCCCACAUGAAGAUGUUUCUAGGGUUUUUCAAUUGACAUUGAACCCAACCAGCAAUCAAGAAGAAGAGACACACGAGCCUCUUGUACAGGACGUCCAAGAACAAUCUGCUAUACCUGCACCUGCUCUGAAUGGUGAGAAUUCAUUGCCCAGUGUAGAUGGUGGCCUCCAGAGUACUAGUAAACGACGAAAGAUAUCAACUGUGUGGGACAACUUCGUUAAGCAUACGGCAGAAAACGGGGAAGAAUGGGCCACAUGUAAAUAUUGUAAGAAGAAGUAUAGAGCAGAAAGCAAAAGAGGAACUUCAAAUUUGCACAAACACUUAAAAAAAUGUUCGCGAAGCAGACAGGACGAAGCAGAGCAGCAAAUUUUGGUUGAGACAGGUGACUUGAGUACUAGCGUCAUCCAAAGGAAUUUUGUCAUAAAUCAAGAAAGAAGUCGUCUAGACAUUGCAACAAUGAUUAUUAAACAUGGAUAUCCCUUGGAGAUGGUUCAACAUGAGUUUUUUGAAAUUUUUGUGAAGAAUUUGCAGCCAGUGCUUGAACUUCAUUCAAAAGACGAGGUUACAGAUGAUGUCCUUACUAUUUGCAGACGAGAGAAGGAGAAACUCAUCAAUUGUUUCGAUAAGCUCUCUUGUCUCUUCAGUUUAUCAAUUGAAUUGUGGUCAUCUAAUGACAAAAUGAUGACCUACUGCUGCUUCACCGUGCAUUUCAUUGACGAUGGAUGGCAGCUGAAGAAGAAGAUUCUUGCUUUCAGGAACUUACGGUACAACUAUGACAUGGGGACUGUACAUGAAGUCUUUAAAAGUGUGCUUACAGAGUGGAGCAUCAACAAGAACGUUCGCUUCAUAUUCCUGGAUAUAACUCCUCCAAAGGAUCACACGAUUGAAGAAUUAAGAAGUAAGGUUUCUGAUCAAGCCCCACGUAUCCAUGGACAUCUUUUCUGUGUUCCUAGUUAUGCCCAAAUUCUCAGUCUCCUUGCUCAAGAUGGAUUUUCUGAGAUAAGGAGUGUGCUUUAUAAGAUAAGAGAAAGUAUAGAGCACGUCAACGGAAGCUCACUUAGAAGGCAGAGGUUCCAGGAGGCAAUUAAUAAUGGGAGUUUGCAGGACAGGGAAAUGCCUACUCUAGAUGUUCCCGCGAGAUGGGACACCACCUUUCUUAUGCUGGAGAGUUCAUUGGAAUUUAUAACAGCUUUUAAUCACCUAGAGCAAUUGGAUGAUGAUUUCAAAGUGAAUCCAUCUGCGGAAGAAUGGAACAAAGCAACAGCCGUAUUUGAGUGCUUGAAAGAGUUCUACAAGUCAACAUGCAAUUUUCCGACAAGCAGAGAUGAUUAUUUCCUCAGUGUUCGUGAUGUUUAUAAGAAUUUGCAUGGCUGGAAACAGAGCGAUUAUGUAUAUGUUCGCGCUAUGGCAAAUAGAAUGAAGGGAAAAUUUGACGAUUAUUGGGGAGAAGCUAGCUUGGCUUUGGGAAUCUCAGUAGUUCUUGACCCCAGCUAUAAAUUGGACUUUAUUGAGUAUGGCUACCGGCAGAUAUACGGCUGUGAUGCUGACUUGCACUUAUCCAGAUUCCGUUACGAUCUUACAUGUGCAUACCAUAAAUAUGCAAUGGAUAUCAGCAAUCAGGGACCAUCUUCUUCUGCCAUGGCUGACGUGAGUCGUUGUACAUCAUCUGAUAUUAGUUUCAAAGAGUGGCGCAAGGGUAAGUAUGAACGCAACAUGGUGCACUCACAAUGGAAUGAGCUUGAUCAGUAUCUACAACUGCCGCCACCAGAGAACUUGGAUAAGGAUGGUAACGUAUUAGCUUGGUGGCAAGACAAUGCUCGAAAUUUUCCAAUACUGGGAAAAAUGGCUCGUGAUUUCUUAGCAAUUCCAGUAUCAACUGUCAUUUCCAAGUCAUCAGAGGUUAUGAAGAUGGCAUCAGUCCAUGACGGUGUUCGUCCUGAGAUAGCCGAGGCUUUGAUAUGUGGAACUUCAAAUUUGCACAAACACUUAAAAAAAUGUUCGCGAAGCAGACAGGACGAAGAAGAGCAGCAAAUCUUGGUUGAGACAGGUGACUUGAGUACUAGCGUCAUCCAAAGGAAUUUUGUCAUACAUCAAGAAAGAAGUCGUCUAGACAUUGCCACAAUGAUUAUUAAGCAUGGAUAUCCCUUGGACAUGGUUCAACAUGAGUUUUUUGAAAUUUUUGUGAAGAAUUUGCAGCCAGUGUUUAAACUUUAUUCAAAAGACGAGGUUACAGAUGAUGUCCUUACUAUUUGCAGACGAGAGAAGGAGAAACUCAUCAAUUGUUUUGAUAAGCUCUCUUGUCUCUUCAGUUUAUCAAUGGAAUUGUGGUCAUCUAAUGACAAGAUGAUGACCUACUGUUGCUUCACCGUGCACUUCAUUGACGAUGGAUGGCAGCUGAAGAAGAAGAUUCUUGCUUUCAGGAACUUACGGUACAACUAUGACAUGGGCACUGUACAUGAAGUCUUUAAAAGUGUGCUUACAGAGUGGAGCAUCAACAAGAACGUUCGCUUCAUAUUCCUGGAUAUAACUCCUCCGAAGGAUCACAUGAUUGGAGAAUUAAGAAGUAAGGUUUCUGAUCAAGCCCCACCUAUCCAUGGACAUCUUUUCUGUGUUCCUAGUUAUGCCCAAAUUCUCAGCCUCCUUGCUCAAGAUGGAUUUUCUGAGAUAAGGAGUGUGCUUUAUAAGAUCAGAGAAUGUAUAGAGUACGUCAACGGAAGCUCACUUAGAAGGCACAGGUUCCAGGAGGCAAUUAAGAAUCGGAGUUUUCAGGACAAGGAAAUUCCUACUCUAGAUGUUCCCGCGAGAUGUGACACCACCUUUCUUAUGCUGGAGAGUUCAUUGGAAUUUAGAACAGCUUUUAAUCACCUAGAGCAACUCGAUGAUGAUUUCAAAGUGAAUCCAUCUGCGGAAGAAUGGAACAAAGCAACAGCCGUAUGUGAGUGCUUGAAGGAGUUCUGCCAGUCAACAUGCAAUUUUCCAACAAGCAGAGAGGAUUAUUUCCUUAAUGUUUGUGAUGUUUGUAAGAAUUUGCUUAAGUGGGAACAGAGUGAUUAUGUAUAUGUUCGCGCUAUGGCAAAUAGAAUGAAGGGAAAAUUUCACGAGUAUUGGGGAGAAGCUAGCUUGGCUUUGGGAAUCUCAGUAGUUCUUAACCCGUACUUUAAAUGGGACAUUAUUGAGUAUGGCUACCCGCAGAUAUACGGCAGUGAUGCUGACUUGCACUUAUCCAGAUUCCGUUGCGAUCUUACAUGUGCAUACCAUAAAUAUGCAAAGGACAUCAGCAAUCAGGUACCAUCUUCUUCUGCCAUGGCUGACGUGGGUCGUUGUACAUCAUCUGAUAUUAGUUUCAAAGAGUGGCGCAAGGGUAAGUAUGAACGCAACAUGGUGCACUCACAAUGGAAUGAGCUUGAUCAGUAUCUACAACUGCCGCCACCAGAGAACUUGGAUAAGGAUGGUAACGUAUUAGCUUGGUGGCAAGACAAUGCUCGAAAUUUUCCAAUACUGGGAAAAAUGGCUCGUGAUUUCUUAGCAAUUCCUGUAUCAACUGUCAUUUCCAAGUCAUCAGAGGUUAUGAAGACGGCAUCAGUCCAUGACGGUGUUCGUCCUGAGAUAGCCGAGGCUUUGAUAUGUGGAAAGGAUUGGUUGGACAGCCCUACCUGGAACAAUUGAUCCAUGUUUGGAUCCUCACUGGUAGUUGCUACUUGCUAGUAGUGUGAAAUAAAUUUUUCCCAGGGUCAACCAGGCUGAGCAUAUCUGAUUUGGAUGCUGUAGAAGAAUAGUACUGGACAUAAGAACCUGAAGUGACGAAGACUUAUUAUUUGCUCAAUUUUAUCAUGGAUUUGAAAAUAGAAUAAAAAACCUCUAGAUGUCCAUUUCAGUGUGUUUGGCUUGAAAAAACAUAAAAUUAAUGGCUUUUAGUGUUAUUUGAUGGUUUUAAUGUUUCAUGUCAAACUUUUGGGGGUGUCUCACCUGUUGAGGGUCAGGGCUUCCUGUGGGCAUGCAGGCUUUGUGUUCGUGCCUCUUCGUUUCCUAGGCGAUUGGAUUUCUUUCUUUUGUCAUGGUUUGUUUUGGGGGUUAUUGCUCUAUGGAUUGGAUGUUCAUUUGGGUA